rfam:Ictidomys tridecemlineatus contig081156, whole genome shotgun sequence.
GGGGUUGUGGCUCAGUGGUAGAGUGCUUGCCUAGCAUGUGUGAGGCACUGGGUUCAAUUCUCAGCAUCGCAU